AUUGAACGCUGGCGGCAGGCCUAACACAUGCAAGUCGAGCGGAGCGGCGGAGGGGUGAGGAAUGCCUAGGAAUCUGCAUGGGAGUGAGGGAUAACGUCAGGAAACGGGCGCUAAUACCGCAUCCUAUCAGAUGCGCCUCGGUCGGAUUAGCUAGUGGGUGGGGUAAAGGCCUAGCAGGGCGACGAUCCGUAACUGGUCUGAGAGGAUGAUCAGUCACACUGGAACUGAGACACGGUCCAGACUCCUACGGGAGGCAGCAGUGGGGAAUAUUGGACAAUGGGCGAAAGCCUGAUCCAGCCAUGCCGCGUGUGUGAAGAAGGUCUUCGGAUUGUAAAGCACUUUAAGUUGGGAGGCGUUACCAACAGAAUAAGCACCGGCUAACUUCGUGCCAGCAGCCGCGGUAAUUC
rnacentral:rRNA from 1 species